rnacentral:rRNA from 1 species
UACAGAGGGGGCAAGGCGUUGUUCGGAAUUACUGGGCGUAAAGGGCGCGUAGGCGGUCGUGACAAGUCACUUGUGAAAUCUCCGGGCUUAACUCGGAACGGUCAAGUGAUACUGUCGGACUAGAGUACAGAAGGGGCAACUGGAAUUCUACGGUGUAGCGGUGAAAUGCGUAGAUAUCGAGAGGAACACCCUGGCGGCGAAGGCGGGUUGCUGGGCUGAUAACUGACGCU